rnacentral:rRNA from 1 species
GACGAACGCUGGCGGCGCGCUUAACACAUGCAAGUCGAACGGAAAGGCCUGCUUUCCCUUGUGGAUUGCGGGUACUCGAGUGGCGAACGGGUGAGUAACACGUGAGUGAUCUGCCCCCAACUUGGGUAUAAGCCUGGGAAACUGGGUCUAAUUCCCGAUAGGACUGCAGGGUGGUGCCUGUGGUGGAAAACGAUUUUCUAGUGGUUGGGGAUGAGCUCGCGGCCUAUCAGCUUGUUGGUGGGGUAAUGGCCUACCAAGGCGGCGACGGGUAGCCGGCCUGAGAGGGUGGACGGCCACAUUGGGACUGAGAUACGGCCCAGACGCCUACGGGAGGCAGCAGUGGGGAAUAUUACACAAUGGGCGGAAGCCUGAUGCAGCGACGCCGCGUGGGGGAUGACGGCCUUCGGGUUGUAAACUCCUUUCGACCGCGAGGAAGCCACCUGGUUGGAAGGGUGGUGACGGUAGUGGUAGAAGAAGCACCGGCUAACUACGUG